AAACCAUGGUUUGGGCAUCUCCUCAGUAAAGAUUUGAAUCUCUCCCAUGUCUCACAGAAAGAUUUGUCAUACCCUUGGGAAAAUAUAGCAAUGACUGAUUUU
rfam:Glycine soja cultivar W05 scaffold451_47, whole genome shotgun sequence.